rnacentral:rRNA from 1 species
GAUGAACGCUGGCGGCGUGCUUAACACAUGCAAGUCGAACGGAAAGGCCUCUUCUUGCAGGUGUACUCGAGUGGCGAACGGGUGAGUAACACGAGUAUGAUCUGCCCUACACUUCGGUAUAAGCCUGGGAAACUGGGUCUAAUCCCGGAUAGGACACUGCUUUGGGUGGUGUGGUGGAAAGUUUUGCGGGUUGGGAUGAGCUCGCGGCCUAUCACCUUUUUGGUGGGGUGAUGGCCUACCAACGCGUCGGCGGGUAGCCGGGCUGUGAGGGUGUACGGGCACCGUGGGGAUGAGAUACGGGCCAGGCUGCGACGGGAGGGAGGAGGGGGGAAUAUUGCACAAUGGGCGAUAGCCCGAGGGAGAGACGGCGCGUGGGGGAUGAAGGCCUUUGGGUUGGAAACUCCUUUCGGUAGGGACGAAGCGUUUUUGUGACGGUACCUGGAGAAGAAGCACCGGCUAACUACGUG